rnacentral:lncRNA from 1 species
GAGCAUGAUGGACCAACCUGCUGCUGCCCCCUCAGCUCCAUCAUCUACUCCAUCCGUGCUAUCCGCUCCAUCAUUUGCAUCUGAAAUGACUAGUAGGAGUCAAUGCGUACAAUCAACUCAUCAGCUUGCUAUAGUCCUCAACAGCUCAAUGUCAAUCCUCAGCAGUCUGUCUUUGUAUCUCUAUUAGUUCGGCAUCACAGACAGCAUGGAUGUUAGCCCUAAAUGAGUAUGAAGAUGGGAGAGCUCUGAUUCCAUACCUUAGUCUCCUAAUAUAAUAGAAUCUCAUACUACACCUGAUCACAGAUCUCAUCAUCUGUGGGUAUGGUCGUAUUAAAAAACAGGCUGAUUCGCGUGCAUAGAUCUAUGUGGUUAUGGUAGCCACAGUGAAAGCAAAUUUUAAAAUUUUUAAUCUAAUUUAAGCAUGCAGAUUCUAAAUCAUAAUCAAGUCUAAGAUUGUCUAACAUGCAUAAAUAAAUUUAUGAACAUAGAUUUCAAAUUAUAAACAGCAAAAAGAAGAUAUACCUGAUUGCUUUUCCAUUCUCCUUCAUCAAAUCGGAUCCUAUGGAUGUCUGGGGUUGUUGUCGUAGCCGUGUAAGCACUCAGCCUCUAUUGGUAUCCAUAUAGAGAUGUCCAGAUCAAAACUCUGAAACCUUCAGGGUGCUAGUUCCCUUGCAGGCUUCAUUCUUCGGCUUGAAUCAGGCCACUUUACUUGAUAUCACUUGAAGCAGCCCUGUAUAAGAUCUAGGGGAUUGAUCCUAACUACCAAGAAAAAUCAAGAAAACUUUUCUUGAUUUUCUAUUUCUCUCUCAAAGGUUCUCUCUCAUAUCUCUAUCUGAUGUGGAAUAGGGGUGUGGAAGAGAAGGGAUGAGAGGUGGUUGGCAUGGAGAAGGAAAGAGGGCAUGAGGUAGUUAGCGCACAAACAUCUGAUUCUUUUCCUCACACCAAAACCCAUCCUUUUAUAAUUUUGUCACACAAAAUUACCUUGUUUCCCAUGCCAACAACUGAUAAGAAUUAGUUUGAAUUAGUUAGACCUUAUCCC